rnacentral:lncRNA from 1 species
UGAAUAGUGCACUAGAAAUAAUAUUAAAAUAAUUAGAAUCGAAAUGAGGUAUCAAGACCUCGGGGAUUUUAAACUGAGCCAUAAAUAUUUUUAUAAAUAUUUAUGGAGUGUUAAAAAGUUAGUAUUAAAGUUUCGUUAAGAAAUUUUAAAGUUCCGAUAAUUAAUUGAACAAAAAGGACUAAAUUGUAACAAAUGCAAAAUUUUGGGAAAUAAUUAAAUAGCUUAAAUGAUAAAAGGAAGAGGGCUUAAAAAGCAAAUAGACCCAAGGUCUAUUUGGGCUGGACGGCAGAGGCAUGAAAUCAGCAAGAAAGUAAGGAGAAUUAAGGGCAAAAUUGGAAAAUUGCAAAA